CGAUGAACACUAGGUGUCGGGGGAAUCGACCCCCUCGGUGUCGUAGCCAACGCGUUAAGUGUUCCGCCUGGGGAGUACGCACGCAAGUGUGAAACUCAAAGGAAUUGACGGGGGCCCGCACAAGCGGUGGAGUAUGUGGUUUAAUUCGAUGCAACGCGAAGAACCUUACCAGGGUUUGACAUCCUGCGAACCUCUAAGAAAUUGGAGGGUGCCUUCGGGAACGCAGUGACAGGUGGUGCAUGGCUGUCGUCAGCUCGUGUCGUGAGAUGUUGGGUUAAGUCCCGCAACGAGCGCAACCCACGUUUUUAGUUGCCAGCAUUCAGUUGGGCACUCUAGAGAGACCGCCGGUGAUAAACCGGAGGAAGGUGUGGAUGACGUCAAGUCAUCAUGCCCCUUACAUCCUGGGCUACACACGUACUACAAUGCUACGGACAAAGGGCAGCAAACUCGCGAGAGCAAGCAAAUCCCAUAAACCGUGGCUCAGUUCAGAUCGUAGGCUGCAACUCGCCUACGUGAAGGAGGAAUCGCUAGUAAUCGCAGGUCAGCAUACUGCGGUGAAUACGUUCCCGGGCCUUGUACACACCGCCCGUCACACCAUGGAAGUUGGCCACGCCCGAAGUCGUUACUCCA
rnacentral:rRNA from 1 species